GAGCUGCCUUUCAGCCCCAGAUUGCCUGCACACGGCCCUGGGGGAAGCUACAGCGCCAGAGCACCAGUUCCCUCAUAACCCCCUGCGAGAGCGACACUC